UACAGAGGGUGCGAGCGUUGUCCGGAAUCACUGGGCGUAAAGGGCGCGUAGGUGGCCCGACAAGUCUGUGGUGAAAGCUCGACGCUCAACGUCGAGUCGGCCAUGGAUACUGUUGGGCUGGAGCACUGUAGAGGCUCAUGGAAUUCCGGGUGUAGCGGUGGAAUGCGUAGAGAUCCGGAAGAACACCGGUGGCGAAGGCGGUGAGCUGGGCAGUAGCUGACACUGAGGCGCGGACAGCGUGGGGAGCAAACAGG
rnacentral:rRNA from 1 species